CAGCAGCCACGGUAAUACGUAGGUGGCAAGCGUUGUCCGGAAUUAUUGGGCGUAAAGGGCUCGCAGGCGGUUUCUUAAGUCUGAUGUGAAAGCCCCCGGCUCAACCGGGGAGGGUCAUUGGAAACUGGGAAACUUGAGUGCAGAAGAGGAGAGUGGAAUUCCACGUGUAGCGGUGAAAUGCGUAGAGAUGUGGAGGAACACCAGUGGCGAAGGCGACUCUCUGGUCUGUAACUGACGCUGAGGGGCGAAAGCGUGGGGAGCGAACAGGAUUAGAUACCCCUGUAGUCCCUGUCUCUUAUAC
rnacentral:rRNA from 1 species